rnacentral:rRNA from 1 species
GGUUAAGCGACUAAGCGUACACGGUGGAUGCCCUGGCAGUCAGAGGCGAUGAAGGACGUGCUAAUCUGCGAUAAGCGCCGGUAAGGUGAUAUGAACCGUUAUAACCGGCGAUUUCCGAAUGGGGAAACCCAGUGUGAUUCGUCACACUAUCAUUAACUGAAUCCAUAGGUUAAUGAGGCGAACCGGGGGAACUGAAACAUCUAAGUACCCCGAGGAAAAGAAAUCAACCGAGAUUCCCCCAGUAGCGGCGAGCGAACGGGGAGGAGCCCAGAGCCUGAAUCAGCAUGUGUGUUAGUGGAAGCGUCUGGAAAGGUGCGCGAUACAGGGUGACAGCCCCGUACACAAAAGCGCAUGUGCUGUGAGCUCGAUGAGUAGGGCGGGACACGUGGUAUCCUGUCUGAAUAUGGGGGGACCAUCCUCCAAGGCUAAAUACUCCUGACUGACCGAUAGUGAACCAGUACCGUGAGGGAAAGGCGAAAAGAACCCCGGCGAGGGGAGUGAAAAAGAACCUGAAACCGUGUACGUACAAGCAGUGGGAGCACAGGUUUACCUGUGUGACUGCGUACCUUUUGUAUAAUGGGUCAGCGACUUAUAUUCUGUAGCAAGGUUAACCGUAUAGGGGAGCCGUAGGGAAACCGAGUCUUAACCGGGCGUUAAGUUGCAGGGUAUAGACCCGAAACCCGGUGAUCUAGCCAUGGGCAGGUUGAAGGUUGGGUAACACUAACUGGAGGACCGAACCGACUAAUGUUGAAAAAUUAGCGGAUGACCUGUGGCUGGGGGUGAAAGGCCAAUCAAACCGGGAGAUAGCUGGUUCUCCCCGAAAGCUAUUUAGGUAGCGCCUCGUGAAUUCAUCUCCGGGGGUAGAGCACUGUUUCGGCUAGGGGGCCAUCCCGGCUUACCAACCCGAUGCAAACUGCGAAUACCGGAGAAUGUUAUCACGGGAGACACACGGCGGGUGCUAACGUCCGUCGUGAAGAGGGAAACAACCCAGACCGCCAGCUAAGGUCCCAAAGUCAUGGUUAAGUGGGAAACGAUGUGGGAAGGCCCAGACAGCCAGGAUGUUGGCUUAGAAGCAGCCAUCAUUUAAAGAAAGCGUAAUAGCUCACUGGUCGAGUCGGCCUGCGCGGAAGAUGUAACGGGGCUAAACCAUGCACCGAAGCUGCGGCAGCGACGCUGAUGCGUUGUUGGGUAGGGGAGCGUUCUGUAAGCCUGCGAAGGUGACCUGUGAGGGUUGCUGGAGGUAUCAGAAGUGCGAAUGCUGACAUAAGUAACGAUAAAGCGGGUGAAAAGCCCGCUCGCCGGAAGACCAAGGGUUCCUGUCCAACGUUAAUCGGGGCAGGGUGAGUCGACCCCUAAGGCGAGGCCGAAAGGCGUAGUCGAUGGGAAACGGGUUAAUAUUCCCGUACUUGGUGUUACUGCGAAGGGGGGACGGAGAAGGCUAUGUUGGCCGGGCGACGGUUGUCCCGGUUUAAGCGUGUAGGUGUGUGUUCCAGGUAAAUCCGGUUCACUUUAACACUGAGGCGUGACGACGAGGCACUACGGUGCUGAAGCAACAAAUGCCCUGCUUCCAGGAAAAGCCUCUAAGCAUCAGGUAACACGAAAUCGUACCCCAAACCGACACAGGUGGUCAGGUAGAGAAUACCAAGGCGCUUGAGAGAACUCGGGUGAAGGAACUAGGCAAAAUGGUGCCGUAACUUCGGGAGAAGGCACGCUGACACGUAGGUGAAGUGAUUUACUCAUGGAGCUGAAGUCAGUCGAAGAUACCAGCUGGCUGCAACUGUUUAUUAAAAACACAGCACUGUGCAAACACGAAAGUGGACGUAUACGGUGUGACGCCUGCCCGGUGCCGGAAGGUUAAUUGAUGGGGUCAGCGCAAGCGAAGCUCCUGAUCGAAGCCCCGGUAAACGGCGGCCGUAACUAUAACGGUCCUAAGGUAGCGAAAUUCCUUGUCGGGUAAGUUCCGACCUGCACGAAUGGCGUAAUGAUGGCCAGGCUGUCUCCACCCGAGACUCAGUGAAAUUGAACUCGCUGUGAAGAUGCAGUGUACCCGCGGCAAGACGGAAAGACCCCGUGAACCUUUACUAUAGCUUGACACUGAACAUUGAGCCUUGAUGUGUAGGAUAGGUGGGAGGCUUUGAAGUGUGGACGCCAGUCUGCAUGGAGCCGACCUUGAAAUACCACCCUUUAAUGUUUGAUGUUCUAACGUGGACCCGUAAUCCGGGUUGCGGACAGUGUCUGGUGGGUAGUUUGACUGGGGCGGUCUCCUCCUAAAGAGUAACGGAGGAGCACGAAGGUUGGCUAAUCCUGGUCGGACAUCAGGAGGUUAGUGCAAUGGCAUAAGCCAGCUUGACUGCGAGCGUGACGGCGCGAGCAGGUGCGAAAGCAGGUCAUAGUGAUCCGGUGGUUCUGAAUGGAAGGGCCAUCGCUCAACGGAUAAAAGGUACUCCGGGGAUAACAGGCUGAUACCGCCCAAGAGUUCAUAUCGACGGCGGUGUUUGGCACCUCGAUGUCGGCUCAUCACAUCCUGGGGCUGAAGUAGGUCCCAAGGGUAUGGCUGUUCGCCAUUUAAAGUGGUACGCGAGCUGGGUUUAGAACGUCGUGAGACAGUUCGGUCCCUAUCUGCCGUGGGCGCUGGAGAACUGAGGGGGGCUGCUCCUAGUACGAGAGGACCGGAGUGGACGCAUCACUGGUGUUCGGGUUGUCAUGCCAAUGGCACUGCCCGGUAGCUAAAUGCGGAAGAGAUAAGUGCUGAAAGCAUCUAAGCACGAAACUUGCCCCGAGAUGAGUUCUCCCUGAGACUUAGAGUCUCCUGAAGGAACGUUGAAGACGACGACGUUGAUAGGCCGGGUGUGUAAGCGCAGCGAUGCGUUGAGCUAACCGGUACUAAUGAACCGUGAGGCUUAACCUU